GGGCCUAUAGCUCAGCUGGUCAGAGCGCACGCCUGAUAAGCGUGAGGUCGGUGGUUCGAGUCCACCCGAGCCCACCA
rnacentral:tRNA from 1 species